UAGGGAAUCUUCCGCAAUGGACGCCCUUCUGACGGAGCAACGCCUCGUGAGUGAAGAAGGUUUUCGGAUCGUAAAACUCUGUUGUAAGAGAAGAACAAAUUGUAGAGUAACUGCUACAGUCUUGACGGUAUCUUACCAGAAAGCCACGGCUAACUACGUUCCAGCAGCCGCGGUAAUACGUAGGUGGCAAGCGUUGUCCGGAUUUAUUGGGCGUAAAGGGGGGGCAGGCUGCUUCUUAAGUCUGAUGUGAAAGCCCACGGCUUAACAGUGGAAGUGCAUUGGAAACUGGGAAGCUUGAGUAAAGAAGAGGAAAGUGGAAGUCCAUGUGUAGCGGUGGAAUGCGUAGAUAUAUGGAAGAACACCAGUGGCGAAAGAGACUUUCUGGUCUGUCACUGACGAUGAGGCCCGAAAGCGUGGGUAGCAAACAGG
rnacentral:rRNA from 1 species